GAUGAACGCUGGCGGCGUGCCUAAUACAUGCAAGUCGAGCGAACAGACGAGGAGCUUGCUCCUUUGACGUUAGCGGCGGACGGGUGAGUAACACGUAGAUAACCUACCUAUAAGACUGGGAUAACUUCGGGAAACCGGAGCUAAUACCGGCUAAUAUUUCGAACCGCAUGGUUCAAUAGUGAAAGAUGGCUUUGCUAUCACUUAUAGAUGGACCUGCGCCGUAUUAGCUAGUUGGUAAGGUAACGGCUUACCAAGGCAACGAUACGUAGCCGACCUGAGAGGGUGAUCGGCCACACUGGAACUGAGACACGGUCCAGACUCCUACGGGAGGCAGCAGUAGGGAAUCUUCCGCAAUGGGCGAAAGCCUGACGGAGCAACGCCGCGUGAGUGAUGAAGGUCUUCGGAUCGUAAAACUCUGUUAUUAGGGAAGAACAAACGUGUAAGUAACUGUGCACGUCUUGACGGUACCUAAUCAGAAAGCCACGGCUAACUACGUG
rnacentral:rRNA from 1 species